UAGCAUGGCUGCCCUUCAAGAGGCCCAACAAGCAGCUGACUGAGACAGACACAGAUACUUACACUCAACAAAAUAUACUGAAGUCGGAGACCACUGUGGUUGAAUGAGGGAGAGGCUAGAAGAAGCUGAGGAGAAGGGUGACCCCAAAGGAAGACCAGCAGUCUCACUUAACCUGGACCCCCAAGAUCUCUCAGACACUGACCCACCAACUGGCAGCAUACAAGAACUGGUUCAAGGACUCUGAUACAUAUUCAGCAGAGGACUUCCUGGUCUGGCCUAAGUGAGAGAAUACUUGCCUAACCCUAGAGAGACUUGAGGCCCCAGUAUAUGUCUUCGAAUACAUGUCUGUUGCCUUCAGUGGCCAGAAGAUGGUGUAAGAUCCCCUGGAACUGGAAUUACAGACAUUUUGAAAUCACUUCAGUUCAACAUGGAAUUAACCCCCCACCCAGAAAUCCAUCAUAGGAGCCUGAAGGGGACCUGACUAUCCGAGUCUUCAGGAAGACAUCCUUCAUGGAUCUCGAUAUGGAUUUCUGAACAGAAAAAAAGGUCAUUGGUAGAUUAGUUAAAAUUUCAGAUUCACAGGGCUUGAUGGGAAAGGUUUGAUGAAGGCUUCUUAUUCAGGACAAGUACUCCAAUGUCUUUCACUGUUGUACAUUAUCCAGUUGUGGCUCUCUGGGCUAGUUCCUAUCUACUAUAAGAAGAAACUUCUCUGAUGAGAUAUCAUGCAGCGUACCUUCUAACUCCAUGAACAUUACAUGUGAAGCUUCUGGCUUGGCGUUGGCUCAAUUUCUCCAUGUUUGGUGACAUAAAGUCUCACCGUGCUGCUCAAGCUGAUAUUAGAUUCUGAGAAGGUGCUCCGUGCUGGUCUUCUGAGGAGACUUUAUUAAAGGGAUCCCAUGUGUAGCUGGUAUUUCUGAUAUGGAGAUCCAUUGUACUUCUUAGUGAGGUUGCAAACUCAAGCACUAAUGCCAUGCUUCUUGUCAGCAUCCUGAGAAGAUCACACUGGAGACUGCUACCUGGAGCUAUGAUAUAAACUACAAAUAUAUUCCUGAUGAGGAGUAGGACUUGUGUUCACAUCCUUAAUCAAUGCUGCAAUUAAAUGGAGGGACAAAAAUGGAGCAGAGACAGAAGAAAAGACCAUCUGGGGACUACACCACCUAGGUGACCCAUGGCAAGGGGAGAACAUUGAGGACUACUUGAGCAGCUGAAAACAGACACUCAAAUAUACACAAUACUGGAAGACCAUUUUUUUUUCUUAAAAUCUUAGCUCAUGGAGGGAAUCUCACUUGACUAGUAUGGCACAGUUAAGAUGACAGAGCAUACCUAGAAAGUAUAUUUACAUACUGGGAUACCAAAGCCUUACUGCCCACUGCAUUUUUAGAUACUUCCCUUUCAAUGUGAGUCUAGCAGAGGCAAACAGUCUAUAGGUGUACAUACUGUAAUUAAGAAUUAUACAGAGAGUAUUUAUGCAUAAGCAGUGUGGAUAGAGGUGCUCAAUUAUGCAACUCAUGUGUAUCUUUGAUUUUUUCUAAAGGAGCUGUUCACUAGAGAGUAGCUGUAAGGAAUAGAAAAUUUGAUGAACCACAUUGAGGAAGGCCGAGGAAGCAGAGAUGACAUCAACUGGGAGUAUGGUGUAAUCAUUUUCAAUAUA